rnacentral:lncRNA from 1 species
AAGAGUGAAGUAGGCAUAUUGAGAUUAAUGAAUAUCUUUGACAAAUAAAGAUGAACUUGUGUGCUUCCAAUUUCCAUCCUUCUCUAGCUCCUUCAAUCUUUCCUCCAAAAGAUCAUCCCAGUAUCCGACGACCGAAGAAAAUUCCAAGGACCUAAUCUUUCUACAAAAACUUUGAGGGCAUGAGACAUUUAAGAUCUAAUACAAAAUAGAUACAUAUAAAUUAUUUGAGUAGGGUAUUUCACCAGCCUUCCAGUGCUUCAUUUUGGGAAAUCUGAUGUCGAUGAUGUAAGAGCAUCGACGGUAACGGCUGCGACGUUCCUUCAACGGAGAAGAUGGCAGUGCCGCAGAGCUUAUGCUCGAUGAGUGAGAAGCAACUGCAUUUUGUGGGAGAGAUAAUAAUGGGUAAGAGGUUGCAGUUACCAAAAUCCAAAAAUUGUGGGAUUAUGGGUUAUUAAUUUGAUAACUAUUAAUUAGUCGAGAUUUUGUA